GGCCCCGAGCCCCGGGCUGCCGCCGCCUGGCCUGUAGCGGGCCUCUGCCAGAGCCUCGGGUGGGAAUCCCGGCCUCACAGAGCAGCCCUGCCUGGUGGCCCGCUUCCUCCUCCAGCCCCCGACGCAGUUCGGACCCCCCAAGCUCUUUGGUGAGCCGCUGAGACACCCCAGCAAGGAAGCGCUCUCCAGCGGCCCUCCACAUCCCUCCUUUCCCCCAGCUGUCCUGGCUGCCCUUCCCGGACUCUCGGAUAACAGGCCCCACAUCAGAUCGUCUCUUUGAUGGAGAAUGAAAAGGAUAUUAGUUCCCUGACCAAGGAUCGAACCCUUUCACCCUGCAGGGGAAGCGCAGAGUCUCAACAACUGGACCACCAGGGAAGUCCAGAAGAAAGAAAGUCGAAGUCUUAGAAAGAGAUUAAAGUAGGAGCGUCCCGUGACCCAGGC